AAAAAAAAUCCUCUUUACUCUUAAGCCCAAAACCCCAAAGCACCAGCUGGGAAUCAGGAUGUUGCAGAUGAAAUUGCAGUUCUUCCCUCCAUCCUUCUCAAAUACAACUGCUCUUUCUCCUUAUAAUACUCCAAUCCUUUCUUCACCCUCCUUUGCAUCACCGUCCCCCUUCCACUAUUCCCAGUGGCCAUUAAAACAACCCAGGAAAAAGCAGCAAUUGUUGGUGUUGUGUGCUAACUCUGAGUUGGGUGGGGGUUAUCUGGAUGGGGAAUUGGGUGUACAAGACAAAAGAAGUAGAACCCAAGAAGAAUGGAAUGAGAAAUUGGACUCUUCCCAGUAUGAAGCUCUGCUCAAAGGGGGAGAACAGGUCACUUCUGUCCUCCAAGAAAUGAUUACCCUUUUGGAGGAUAUGAACAUGGAUGAAGCAUCUGAGAAGGUGGCAGUAGAAUUGGCUGCACAAGGUGUCAUUGGGAAAAGAGUUGAUGAGAUGGAAUCAGGGUUUAUGAUGGCUCUAGAUUACAUGAUUCAAGUUGCUGAAAAGGACCAAGAUGAUAAGCGCAAGUCACUAUUGGAAGUUGUCAAGGAAACUGUAUUAUCCCAUCUAACCAAAAAAUGCCCAACACAUGUUCAAGUGAUUGGCUUGCUUUGCAGAACUCCUGAGAAAGAAAGCAGGCAUGAACUACUACGUAGAGUGGCUGCUGGUGGUGGUGUCUUUGAAAGUAAGAAUGGAACCAAAGUUCAUAUUCCAGCAGCAAAUCUAAAUGAUAUAGCAAACCAGGCAGAUGAUUUGUUGGAGACAAUGGAAACUCGGCCAGUUGUUCCAGAUCGAAAACUACUUGCAAGGCUUGUUUUAAUCAGAGAGGAAGCUAGAAAUAUGAUGGGAGGUGGAAUACUGGAUGAAAGAAAUGACCGUGGUUUCAGAACACUUCCCGAAUCUGAGGUUAACUUCUUAACCAAACUGGUAGCUUUGAAACCUGGGAAGACUGUACUGGAAAUGAUAAAAAAUGUAAUGCUAGGGAAAGAUGAAGGUGCUGAUAAUGCAGCUACUGAGGAUGACACUACGAACGGAAAUAUUUCAAGUGGAAUUGCAGGAAGGCCAAGUGUAACAGGACGAAAACCACUCCCUGUUCGCCCUGGCAUGUUUCUGGAGACUGUCACCAAGGUCUUAGGUGGUAUAUAUUCCGGAAAUGUGUCUGGCAUUACAGCACAACAUCUAGAAUGGGUAAAUUCUCUUGUGCCUGAUAUAACUUAAUCUCUCUCUUUUCUUUCAUUCUAUGCCUCAUGUAGCCUUUAGUUCUUUAUUCUUAUAAUUGUUUUCUUUCCAAUUUUCAUAGCAUAGAAACUUUUGGUGAUUUCUGAAAUAGCAAAAAUACGAAGUGGGUUAUCUUUAGUUUGUUGAUCUUCAAAAUUUAGCUCAUCUGGUACCACUGCGUCUCCCAGCCAGAGAGUUUUGUAGCUUCUUUUCUUCACGCAUGAUACGCAAUAAUCGUUGAGUUUGCUUCUCAUGGUAAAAUCUCUUCAGGUGGCUGCCAUAAUAUUAUUUAAGUGACUCACCUAGUUUUUUUGUUUGCCUGUGUCCAGGUUCAUCAGAAGACUCUUCAAGUUCUUCAGGAAAUAGCAUUCUAGCCUUGUGGAAGUGACAGAUACUUCAUCACACUAUAUAGUAAAAGCCCAAUUUUGCCCAUAACAUGCUGUUGGAGGAAGGUUAAGCCUAGAGUAUAAUUCUGCCUUGUUGUAAAAUGUCUUUUAGCUAUGAACCUCCAAGAAACUAGUAAUUGUUGUAUCUGUAUACCUGCA
rnacentral:misc_RNA from 1 species